GCUCCCAUCGUCUAGUCCGGCCAAGGACACAGGGCUUUCAACCCCGUAACCCGGGUUCAAAUCCCGGUGGGAGCA
rnacentral:tRNA from 1 species